UACGAAGGGGGCGAGCGUUGUUCGGAUUUACUGGGCGUAAAGGGCGCGCAGGCGGCUUUGUUUGUCAGGCGUGAAAGCCCCGGGCUUAACCUGGGAACUGCGUUUGAUACGGCAGGGCUAGAGUUCGGGAGAGGAGAGUGGAAUUCCCAGUGUAGAGGUGAAAUUCGUAGAUAUUGGGAAGAACACCGGUGGCGAAGGCGGCCUGCU
rnacentral:rRNA from 1 species